UUAUAAAAAAAUCUUAGGAUGUUUUGUAUUAUUAUGCGAAUGUAUUGGAAUAAUAAGCCAAGGUUCUUUUAAAUCUUGUCUGUUUCUAUUAGAUCAGAAGAAGAUAUAGUCCAUAACUGAGUACACCUGAAUAUAUGCUCAGUAUGACCCUAGUAGUUCUAGCUGUAAACGAUGGAAACUAAGAGGGGGUAACCCCCUUCUGUAGCUAACGCGUUAAGUUUCCCGCCUGGGGAGUAUGCUCGCAAGGGUGAAACUCAAAGGAAUUGACGGGAG
rnacentral:rRNA from 1 species